AUGAACGCUGGCGGCGUGCCUAAUACAUGCAGGUCGAGCGCACGGACGAGAAGCUUGCUUCUCUGAUGUUAGCGGCGGACGGGUGAGUAACACGUGGAUAACCUACCUAUAAGACUGGGAUAACUUCGGGAAACCGGAGCUAAUACCGGAUAAUAUUUUGAACCGCAUGGUUCAAAAGUGAAAGACGGUCUUGCUGUCACUUAUAGAUGGAUCCGCGCUGCAUUAGCUAGUUGGUAAGGUAACGGCUUACCAAGGCAACGAUGCAUAGCCGACCUGAGAGGGUGAUCGGCCACACUGGAACUGAGACACGGUCCAGACUCCUACGGGAGGCAGCAGUAGGGAAUCUUCCGCAAUGGGCGAAAGCCUGACGGAGCAACGCCGCGUGAGUGAUGAAGGUCUUCGGAUCGUAAAACUCUGUUAUUAGGGAAGAACAUAUGUGUAAGUAACUGUGCACAUCUUGACGGUACCUAAUCAGAAAGCCACGGCUAACUACGUG
rnacentral:rRNA from 1 species